rnacentral:misc_RNA from 1 species
GAUGAAGAACGUAGCAAAAUGCGAUAAGUAAUGUGAAUUGCAGAAUUCAGUGAAUCAUCGAAUCUUUGAACGCACAUUGCGCCCGCCAGUAUUCUGGCGGGCAUGCCUGUUCGAGCGUCAUUUCAACCCUCAAGCACAGCUUGGUGUUGGGACUCGCGUUAAUUCGCGUUCCCCAAAUUGAUUGGCGGUCACGUCGAGCUUCCAUAGCGUAGUAGUAAAACCCUCGUUACUGGUAAUCGUCGCGGCCACGCCGUUAAACCCCAACUUCUGAAUGUUGACCUCGGAUCAGGUAGGAAUACCCGCUGAACUUAAGCAUAUCAAUGCGGAGGA